CCGGAUGGAACGCCGAAUCCUGCCGCCGUCCGGACCCUCCCACACACGUAUGGCAGGAGCGGGGGACCCAGGUAAGCCGCCGAUCCGGAUUCCGGAACGGCUGGGGUGAAGUCGCGUGCGCCGCGACCGGACAUCUCCCGUCCGAACCCGACAGCUCACCUCGCAGGCGAAGGAGAGGAAUU
rnacentral:sRNA from 2 species